rnacentral:piRNA from 1 species
UGGUUUGUACCAAGAUGUCCUCACCACGUU